UGGGGAAUCUUGCACAAUGGGCGAAAGCCUGAUGCAGCGACGCCGCGUGGGGGAUGAAGCAUCUCGGUGUGUAAACCCCUUUCGAUUCGGACGAAUGCCCGCAAGGGAGUGACGGUACGGAUAUAAGAAGCCCCGGCUAACUACGUGCCAGCAGCCGCGGUAAGACGUAGGGGGCCAGCGUUGUUCGGAAUUACUGGGUGUAAAGGGUUCGUAGGCGGUGCGGCAAGUUGGGAGUGAAAUCUCUGGGCUUAACCCAGACGCUGCUUCCAAAACUGCUGUGCUCGAGUGUGGGAGAGGCGCGUGGAAUUGCAGGUGUAGCGGUGAAAUGCGUAGAUAUCUGCAGGAACACCCGUGGCGAAAGCGGCGCGCUGGACAACUACUGACACUGAGGAACGAAAGCUAGGGGAGCAAACAGG
rnacentral:rRNA from 1 species